AUUGAACGCUGGCGGCAGGCCUAACACAUGCAAGUCGAGCGGAUGAUGGGUGCUUGCACUCUGAUUCAGCGGCGGACGGGUGAGUAAUGCCUAGGAAUCUGCCCGAUAGUGGGGGACAACGUUUCGAAAGGAACGCUAAUACCGCAUACGUCCUACGGGAGAAAGUGGGGGAUCUUCGGACCUCACGCUAUCGGAUGAGCCUAGGUCGGAUUAGCUAGUUGGUGAGGUAAUGGCUCACCAAGGCGAGGAUCCGUAACUGGUCUGAGAGGAUGAUCAGUCACACUGGAACUGAGAAACGGUCCAGACUCCUACGGAAGGCAGCAGUGGGGAAUAUUGGACAAUGGGCGAAAGCCUGAUCCAGCCAUGCCGCGUGUGUGAAGAAGGUCUUCGGAUUGUAAAGCACUUUAAGUUGGGAGGAAGGGCUGUCGGCUAAUACCCUGCAGUUUUGACGUUACCAACAGAAUAAGCACCGGCUAACUUCGUGCCAGCCGCCGCCGUAACAC
rnacentral:rRNA from 1 species